rnacentral:rRNA from 1 species
UGGGGAAUAUUGGACAAUGGGGGCAACCCUGAUCCAGCAAUGCCGCGUGUGUGAAGAAGGUCUUCGGAUUGUAAAGCACUUUCGACGGGGACGAUGAUGACGGUACCCGUAGAAGAAGCCCCGGCUAACUUCGUGCCAGCAGCCGCGGUAAUACGAAGGGGGCUAGCGUUGCCCGGAAUGACUGGGCGUAAAGGGCGUGUAGGCGGUUUACACAGUCAGAUGUGAAAUCCCCGGGCUUAACCUGGGAGCUGCAUUUGAUACGUGUAGACUAGAGUGUGAGAGAGGUUGGAUUCCCAGUGUAGAGGUGAAAUUCGUAGAUAUUGGGAAGAACACCGGUGGCGAAGGCGGCAACCUGGCUCAUGACUGGCGCUGAGGCGCGAAAGCGUGGGGAGCAAACAGGAUUAGAUACCCUGGUAGUCCACGCUGUAAACGAUGUGUGCUAGAUGUUGGGUAACUUUGUUAUUCAGUGUCGCAGUUAACGCGUUAAGCACACCGCCUGGGGAGUACGGCCGCAAGGUUGAAAC